GGGCAAACCCUAAACAACUAUUUAUAUAUUCGAUCUUGAUUCAUCAUCUUCUUCAUUUCUUGAAGCUCUCUUUCUUCUUUUGUUCAAACUUUCUGUCGCCCCUAUUGCCCCGUUUUCUUGUAGUGAUCUUCAAAGCUUUACGAACCCGUGGGAGUAAAGAACUUGAUCUAACACAGAACUAUACCUAGCUCGGUACAUGAAGAUGGACACUUAUGUUCAGAAUCUUCGAUAUGUGAGUGUUAAUCUUCUUUCAUUAACGUUAAUCUUCCCGCCGUAGCCGAUGAUAUAAUGAUUCUUGAAAACUCUCAUCGCCAACGAUCGGAAUCCGGUCAGUGCACUCGGUUACGAGCUUAUUGUGGUUAUUUUAGUGCAUUGAAUGUUGUAUCCUAG
rnacentral:lncRNA from 1 species